AGUAAGGCCAACCUCCAUGCACCAUUUUCUUGUCUGUAGCCAUGUCUGUGGGCUGUGGAGUUGGCCACCUGGGUGAGGGCCUGCU
ncrna:Macaca mulatta (Rhesus monkey) microRNA mml-mir-571 precursor